GCGGGAGUAGCUCAGUUGGUAGAGCGCGACCUUGCCAAGGUCGAGGUCGCCGGUUCGAGUCCGGUCUCCCGCUCCA
rnacentral:tRNA from 1 species